rnacentral:rRNA from 1 species
CGCAUCUGUGCAUGCAGCAUAUCAAUAAGCGGAGGAAAAGGUUGCGGAACUGAACGACCGCUACCUACGCUUAGGAUGUUGACACACGCGCGUGCUCGACUCUAUACAUGACUCUGUGCAUAUCAAUAAGCGAAGGAAAAGAAACUAACAAGGAUUCCCCUAGUAACGGCGAGUGAAGCGGGAAGAGCUCAAAUUUGAAAUCUUAAAGGGUUUCCCUUUACGAAUUGUAGUUUAAAGAAGUGUUUUCUGUUGAGGUUUUGGUAAAAGUUCUUUGGAAUAGGACAUCAUAGAGGGUGAGAAUCCCGUAUUUGACCUUUACUUUCAACUUUGUGAUACACUUUCAAAGAGUCGGAUUGUUUGGGAAUGCAGUCCAAAAUGGGUGGUAAAUUUCAUCUAAAGCUAAAUAUUGGCGAGAGACCGAUAGCGAACAAGUACCGUGAGGGAAAGAUGAAAAGAACUUUGAUAAGAGAGUUAAACAGUACGUGAAAUUGUCAAAAGGGAAGCGUUUGACACCAGUGUUGUUUUCUGAAAAUCAAUUAAAGAACUGUUUAUGCUAAGCUGUUUAGACUUUAUCAGCUAACUGUUUAGUUUUGAGCUUUUCUUUAAUGCACUUUUCAGUUAACAAGUCAACAUCAAUUUCUUUUGCUGUAAAAAAGCUUGAGGAAGGUGGCUUGAGAUUCGUCUUAAGUGUUUAUAGCCUCUUGCCUAUGCAGUCGGAGAGAUUGAGGUCUGCAGCGUAGAUCCUUCGGGGCUAAAUGCAUUUGUGCUAAGUUAUAGCAUUUUAUAGACAACUUGUUGACUAUGAUUUGUCUUGUAGCUUACUCGCUUAUGUUAUUUUACCUACGCUUAGGAUGUUGAACGCGCACAGAGUCUC